AACGCGCGGUUAAGGUGCCAAAGUCGACGCUCAUCAGACCCCACAAAAGGUGUUGGUUGCUCUAGACAGCAGGACGGUGGCCAUGGAAGUUGGAAUCCGCUAAGGAGUGUGUAACAACUCACCUGCCGAAGCAACUAGCCCUGAAAAUGGAUGGCGCUCAAGCGUCGCACCUAUACCGUGCCGUCGGAGCAGAUGCGAAGCUCCGACG
rnacentral:rRNA from 1 species